rnacentral:misc_RNA from 1 species
AACGCACAUUGCGCCCCUUGGUAUUCCGGGGGGCAUGCCUGUUCGAGCGUCAUUACACCAAUCAAGCACAGCUUGGCAUUAGGCCUCCUUUUGCGCCCACGGUCAAACGCGGGCGGGCCUCAAAACCUUCGGCGAAGUCAUAUCCGGCUUUGGGCGUAGCAGAAUCUGUUUAAACGUCCGCGUGGCUAGGGGAGUCUUCCGCCGCCAGAAUCUAUUAUAUUUUCUCAAGGUUGACCUCGGAUCAGGUAGGAAUACCCGCUGAACUUAA